CCCAGGAAUACAGGCAUGUGACCGAAGAAAAAGACAACAAAGGGACAUGAGAGAGGGAAAGAACACUUGAGGACAGGAGCGUGACAUCUCUGGAGAAAGGAAAGGAGUACAUGACUUUACCAACAAAAAAUGGGAUUUGCUGGAGGGGGCUAAACAGGGAGCAGUGUGGGAAUAGAACUGUUACAAGGCUCAAGAAGGAAAAUGAGAGUGUUUUGGCCUGUUCAGUGCUCAGGAUUCUCACUGAGCCUCUAUUAGCUGGACGGUUUUAACUAAGUUCUUCUGGAAGAGGCUCUCACACCAAGAUGGCCUUAAUGAUUUUCCUACCCAUAGCCUACUUCACCUGAAGUUUAUUCUGAAACAAGACCUCCUUGGGAUGGUGUGGAAAUGCAAGGAAAGGAGGUCAGAGCUUGAUGGGAAGGCAAAUCUUCACCUCCUGCUCAUGGCUGAGUGGUAUGGGGAAGAAAGCCUCAGAGCCUACAAACACAGGGAAAAAAGGAAGCGAUCCUUCAAGCAAAGCAGCUUACCAUCAAGAGGAGAAACCUUGUGCUUUUAACCAUUAGCAAAUGACAGGUACAGAACUAGACACUUUAUACAAGCCUGAACAGGUCUGAAAUCCCACGGAGAUUUGUACUGAGUGCUUAGGAUGUAAGCUUAAAAAACACGUGUUGAAAUCAGUUGCUUCUUUUUUGAGGUGCUGAGGCCAGCUGGCAUGGAAUACCUUGCUUCUGCUUUGAAACUCAUCAGCUUCAAAAACUACAUCUGAUUCACCUGUAGAGAAUGGUCUCUGGAACACCCUCACUCCAAAACUUUGUCUGUAAAUCGUUUGCAAGGACACUACCUGGCAAAGAGCAAGCGUGCCAUGGACCUGCACCGGGUCCAGGGAAGAAGAAGCCAUGCUGCACGCAGCUCAGGUAAGAGCUGCCGCUGCUCUGACGCCAGAGCAGAAGGUUUGCAAGUCAUUGCUGUAAUUCCAUUUUUACCCAGCCUUUCUAACAAAGUGCCUGGUUUCUCACGUU